CCCACUAAGUGUAAGCAUAUAAAUAAGUGGAGGAAAAGAAUCUUCUAAGAAUACCUUAGUAACGACGAGUGAAUCAGCAACAACUCAACCUUAGAAUCUGGUUGCUCCAUCAUUCAAAAUAUAUUAUAGAGAAGCAUCCUAAGUGGUGGAUUGGGCCUAAGUCCCCUGGAAGGGGGUACAAGAGAGGGUGAGAGCCAUGUUAUGCUUAGACCAUAUCGUACCACAAGGAGCUAUCUAUGAGUCGAGCUUUUUAGAAAUAUACCCCAAAUAUGGCAGUGAAUUCCACCCAAGGCUAAAUACAAGCGAGAGACCGAUGGUGAAAAAGUACCACGUGAGAAAGAUAAAAAGAACUUUGAAAAAUGAGUCAAAAAGUACUUGAAAUUGUCGAGAAGAAAGUAGAUAAGGGCUGGUAGAAUGGAGACAUGUGAUCUUGUGUAUAUUUAUAUACCCAAGCACCAUAACUUACCCUUAUUUUAGCUAAGUUUGGAGAACAGAGUUCCUAUUUUCUUAUAUUUUUACUCUACUUUUAUGUAAUUGAGGAAACCAAUGUGAUUAGCAUGAUUUCAGGUAUUAAUGAGGUAGAUGGAGACACAAUGGGACUGUAGAAUGCGGAUGGCAUAUGACACAAGAGAGAGUAGCAGUCUGGACCAAAUAUGGUGCGUAAAAACUAUGUCCAAGACUAAUUUGUCAUUUAG
rnacentral:ncRNA from 1 species